AUUGAACGCUGGCGGCAGGCCUAACACAUGCAAGUCGAGCGAGAGGCGGACGGGUGAGUAAUGUAUGGGGACUGCCCGAUAGAGGGGGAUAACUACUGGAAACGGUAGCUAAUACCGCAUACUAUCGGAUAACCCAUAUGGGAUUAGCUCGUAGGUGAGGUAAUGGCUCACUUAGACGACGAUCCCUAGCUGGUCUGAGAGGAUGAUCAGCCAAACCGGGACGAAGACACGGCCCAGACGCCUACGGAGGCAGCAGUGGGGAAGAUUGCAAAAUGGGCGCAAGCCUGAUGCAGCCAGGCCGCGUGUAUGAAGAAGGCCCUAGGGUUGUAAAGUACUUUCAGUAGGGAGGCGUUACCGACAGAAGAAGCACCGGCUAACUCCGUGCGAGCAGCCGCGGUAAUUC
rnacentral:rRNA from 1 species